AUUGAACGCUGGCGGCAGGCCUAACACAUGCAAGUCGAGCGGAGCGGCGGACGGGUGAGUAAUGCCUAGGUAUCUGCCUGGUAGUGGGGGAUGACGUCCGGAACCGGGAACUGAUACCGCAUACUAUCAGAUGAGCCUAGGUCGGAUUAGCUUGUUGUUGGGGUAAAGGCCUACCAAGGCGACGAGCCGUAACUGGUCUGAGAGGAUGAUCAGUCACACUGGAACUGAGACACGGUCCAGACUCCUACGGGAGGCAGCAGUGGGGAAUAUUGGACAAUGGGCGAAAGCCUGAUCCAGCCAUGCCGCGUGUGUGAAGAAGGUCUUCGGAUUGUAAAGCACUUUAAGUUGGGAGGCGUUACCAGCAGAAUAAGCACCGGCUAACUUCGUGCCAGCAGCCGCGGUAAUAC
rnacentral:rRNA from 1 species